rnacentral:rRNA from 1 species
ACGAACGCUGGCGGCGUGCUUUACACAUGCAAGUCGCACGGAAAGGCCCUGCUUUUGUGGGGUGCUCGAGUGGCGAACGGGUGAGUAACACGUGAGUAACCUGCCCUUGACUUUGGGAUAACUUCAGGAAACUGGGGCUAAUACCGGAUAGGAGCUCCUGCUGCAUGGUGGGGGUUGGAAAGUUUCGGCGGUUGGGGAUGGACUCGCGGCUUAUCAGCUUGUUGGUGGGGUAGUGGCUUACCAAGGCUUUGACGGGUAGCCGGCCUGAGAGGGUGACCGGCCACAUUGGGACUGAGAUACGGCCCAGACUCCUACGGGAGGCAGCAGUGGGGAAUAUUGCACAAUGGGCGGAAGCCUGAUGCAGCAACGCCGCGUGCGGGAUGACGGCCUUCGGGUUGUAAACCGCUUUCGCCUGUGACGAAGCGUGAGUGACGGUAAUGGGUAAAGAAGCACCGGCUAACUACGUG